GACAGGAGGUGGUGUCGGCAGGGACAGUGCCUGGGGCAGAGAGAUAUUUUCCUUCUGCUGCUGCCUUGGAGGAGCUGGAACAUCAUAGAGGUACCAGUGGAGAAUCCAACGAUGGAAGGGUUGAACUUCUUCAGAAUGUCUUUGGAGGGGGACAAGGGAGAGAGUACAGACACAUCCUGGAACUUGAACAAGAUCAUCUGUCCCAGGAGGAGAACCACAUGCUGCAUCCUAAACCAGGGCUUCCUAGUCCCCUGGGAUCUUGUAAAAGUGCAGAGUAUGAUUCCAUAGGACCAGGAUAAUGCCCGGAUGCUGCGUUUCUGACAAGUUCCCAGCAGAGGAAGCAAGGCUACAUGAGAACAAAGAUCCAGGAAGUCAGGCCUAGACUCACUCUGCUCGCCACUGUCUACCAGUAAUUAGGACAGCACUUGCUCUGUGUAUGCACCCAGUAAGUAAAUGUGAAAUAAAUAAAUGCUGAUUGACAA